GAAUUUUAGGGCGUUUACAUUUAUGUAGAGCCUGACCUCCAUUUUCUAACUCUGUGCAUCUAUUUGGCGGUCAAGGGACUCGGAAGAGUUUCUUCACUGCGGCUUCAUUUUAAACUCUAGUCAAAGAAUGUAACGAAAUAUCGAAAUAAAAAAAAACUUUCAACAACGGAUCUCUUGGCUCU
rnacentral:misc_RNA from 1 species